GAUAGGCUGAGCAUCAUAAAGUGUCAGACUCAGGAGAGAAACAUAUCUGUUUACUGAGUACCCAGAACUGCCCAUGCUCCAGGCAAGGGAUGUCAUUUUUCUGCUUCAUCCCACAACAGGUUUUCUUCUGACACUUAGUGAUUAACACACACCUUUGGGGUGAUUUGCUGUGGAAAUACUGGAGCUAUAGCCAAGGUUUAUGAAUUGUAAUUAGGUUUCUAAAAGGAUCCCUCUCUUCGCCUGAUCUUUCAUGCUCCAAAAUACCCCUGCAAACAAAACAUUGUCCCUCUAUUUCUGUGGCAUGGAGUGUUUCUGAACAUGGAUCUUCCCCAUCCCAAGGAUUAAGACAACGGAAAGGCAUUAAUGCUUCCUAAGAGCUUGCUGAAUUGGAGUUUGUGUGGAGCCACCACUAAAAGUUGCAAGAGACAGCAUCCAUGUUGUCACAGUCAGCAAAAAGUUCCAGACCUGGAAGUGAAUGUAGCCAUUCCUCUUAGUCAUUGAAUUUAUUCAGUCAUUUUACUCAUAUUUACUAAGAUUAUGCUGGAGGUAUGUCAGCAGGAGGCAUGAAUCACAUGUUCAUUCUUCUUGCAGCACUGUGUGUCCCCUGUACUCAAGGUUCUAUGGCCCUAAUGAUGGAAGAAAUUGAGCAGGCGCCAAUCACACCUCAAGCCAUUCCAAGAAGUAGCCAAUGCCCAUGUCCUCAUUUUUCUUUCUUUAGUUCAGACACAGGAGAGACUGAAACAUUGAAAUGUCAAGGGAAACAGUUCCUCUCUUUUUUUGGACUUCUCCAAAAGAUUCUUUGGCCUUUUUCUCUGAGAUCAACUUAUUUUAGUCUGUACCUCAUAGGACUCCUUGCUGAAUCAAUGAACAAAGACACCAUGGUGAAGCUGACUCUUUCAUGGAGCAAUCUUUUAAUCUCUCCGUUGAGCAGGCAGCAGGCAUCCUACUUGCUUUGCGCACAUACUCUCAAAAAUGUGCAGAAAUUCUCUGGCUCUGGCUUCUGAACUGGCAGAUAUUACCAAGCCAGUCCUUCACUCCCUGCAGAUCAGCUGGGCUGGUGCUCUCUGAGUUUGAAGUGCAUUGUGCUAGCAACAUCUGACACUCUUCAAAGAGGCUGUGCACUGCAUCUGGUGGAGUCACUGGAUUUGCUGCUAUCAUGUAGAAGAAGGAUGCAGAUAAA